GAUCAUGGCUCAGGACGAACGCUGGCGGCGUGCUUAACACAUGCAAGUCGAACGAAAAGACGGAAAGAGCUUGCUCUUUUCAGAAUUGAGUGGCAAACGGGUGAGUAACACGUAAACAACCUGCCUUCAGGAUGGGGACAACAGACGGAAACGACUGCUAAUACCGAAUAAGUUCCAAGAGCCGCAUGGCCCAUGGAAGAAAAGGUAGCCUCUACCUGUAAGCUAUCGCCUGAAGAGGGGGUUUGCGU
rnacentral:rRNA from 1 species